rnacentral:lncRNA from 1 species
CUUCGACUAAAAUUCUACUCCACUAAUCAUGUCAUAUCCAGAUCACACCUUAAAUCAUUAUUGUUCAAAUAUGCGACUGAGAAUUAUUUUCAAAAAAUUAUAAAACUUAUGAACCCUUCAAUAACUGCGAAGGAAGCUCAAGCUCUCAUGAUCAAUCAUACAACCUUUUUUGCAUAUCCGUGCAAAAAAGAAAAAACAAUGCAUAUACGUUAUAUGGGAAUUUUUUUUUACUAAGUACCACGAUUUUUCUAGAGUGUAUUUUAUAGGACACAUGGGAAACAUUUAACUUUCUUGAGUGCACAACUGUACACGCGGUCAUUUCUUUUUCAAAUUAUAGAUAUACUCAUUAAGGACAUCUUUCAAGCGGACCCUCAAAUCACCCACGUCUAUCUGGACCGCUUUGUUUGGACGUGUUGUGUCAUCCAACGCAGUCUUGUAUCAGUCCGCCGAGCGGUCCGGACCAAGUUUUCCUCAUAAAACUUAACCAAGCAUGUGUGUGUGUGGGGGGGGGGGG